rnacentral:rRNA from 1 species
AUUGAACGCUGGCGGCAGGCCUAACACAUGCAAGUCGAACGAGUGGCGGACGGGUGAGUAAUGUCUGGGAAACUGCCUGAUGGAGGGGGAUAACUACUGGAAACGGUAGCUAAUACCGCAUACCAUCGGAUGUGCCCAGAUGGGAUUAGCUAGUUGGUGGGGUAAAGGCUCACCUAGGCGACGAUCCCUAGCUGGUCUGAGAGGAUGACCAGCCACACUGGAACUGAGACACGGCCCAGACUCCGACGGGAGGCAGCAGUGGGGAAUAUUGCACAAUGGGGGCAAGCCUGAUGCAGCCAUGCCGCGUGAAUGAAGAAGGCCUUCGGGUUGUAAAGUACUUUCAGCGGGGAGGCGUUAACCACAGAAGAAGCACCGGCUAACUCCGUACCAGCAGCCGCGGUAAUAC